rnacentral:rRNA from 1 species
GAUGAACGCUAGCUACAGGCUUAACACAUGCAAGUCGAGGGGAAACGACAUCGAAAGCUUGCUUUUGAUGGGCGUCGACCGGCGCACGGGUGAGUAACGCGUAUCCAACCUGCCCAUCACUUGGGAAUAACCUUGCGAAAGUAAGACUAAUACCCAAUGACAUCCCACGAAGACAUCUGAAUGGGAUUAAAGAUUUAUCAGUGACGGAUGGGGAUGCGUCUGAUUAGCUUGUUGGCGGGGUAACGGCCCACCAAGGCAACGAUCAGUAGGGGUUCUGAGAGGAAGGUCCCCCACAUUGGAACUGAGACACGGUCCAAACUCCUACGGGAGGCAGCAGUGAGGAAUAGUGGUCAAUGGGCGAGAGCCUGAACCAGCCAAGUAGCGUGCAGGAUGACGGCCCUAUGGGUUGUAAACUGCUUUUAUAAGGGAAUAAAGUGGGUCUCGUGAGACUUUUUGCAUGUACCUUAUGAAUAAGGACCGGCUAAUUCCGUG